rnacentral:rRNA from 1 species
UACGAGGGGAGCUAGCGUUGUUCGGAAUUACUGGGCGUAAAGGGCGUGUAGGCGGUACCAUAAGUCAGAUGUGAAAGCCCUAGGCUUAACCUAGGAGGUGCAUUUGAUACUGUGGAACUAGAGAUCGAGAGAGGUAAGUGGAAUUACGAGUGUAGAGGUGAAAUUCGUAGAUAUUCGUAAGAACACCAGUGGCGAAGGCGACUUACUGGCUCGAUACUGACGCUAAGGCGCGAAAGCAUGGGGAGCAAACAGG